AAAAAAUGAAAAAAAAAAAAAGAAGAAGAAGAAGAAGCAAAAACUUGGAAAAAAACCAAACAGUUAUCAUGUUUUCAUCUUUGCCUCCGUUCCUAAAAAAAUAACAAGAAAAGUAAACCUAAAAAAUCACAUGUUGUCUCCGUUCUCACUGUUCUUCCUGAUGAACCCAUCCAUCGUUACCUCGAUUCGUCUUUAAUCUUAAAAAAGCUGAUGGAUUCAGGAUUUUGCAGUUUUUGAUUGCAUCUAGGGUUGGUGUUUUUCCUCCUUUGCAUAAGAGCAGGAGCCUGGAGCGAUUGUUGGAAUAACUGCAGCGAUCAAAACGUAUCCCACGUGCGAUGAUGUUGAUAUGGUAAUGGCUAAUCGAAUUUGAAUUGCCGCUCAAUUAAUAGAAAAUGUUGACUGUUUUUCCUGAUAUGCACUGCAGCAACAUUUUUUGCACUAGAUAUUAAAGCGGCUGAGCAUGUUUGCACAAAAGUAUUUUGUGUUGGUACAGAUCAACUCAUCUUGAUAGUAUAUCUCUGAACCCACUGCUUUGUACACAGUACAUGUUAACAUGUUCGUGCAGAACUUUCCUUGAAACUGCAAGGUUACAGUAUAGGACUUCCUAUUGGUAGUUCUUCAAGAAGGAUAAGUAUUUGGGAUCCGGUUAUUGAUAGGCUAAAGAAAAGGCUCGCGCGAUGGAAACGGCAAUACUUAUCGAAAGGAGGGAGGUUGAUCCUUCUUAAGAGUGUUUUAAGCUCGAUGCCAAUAUAUUAUCUCUCUUUAUUUGCAAUUCCAGCAUCAGUAGCAAAUACAUUGGAAAAAAUCAUGCGUAAUUUUCUUUGGGGAGACUCUGAAAAUGGAAAGAAGAUGCAUUGGGUCUUAUGGUGAAAGGUGUGCAGGUCAAAAAAAGAAGGUGACUUAGGGGUUAAAUCUGUAAGAUUAAUGAACCAAGCCCUGUUAACUAAGUCGCUUUGGAGAUAUGGAAAAGAGAAAUCUAGUCUAUGGCGCAAAAUCAUCCAAGAGAAGUGCGGAGGUGAUGAAGAGGCAUGGACUGCUCCACAAACAAACCAGACUCAAGGGUGUGGGUUAUGGAAAAAUAUUCUUAAGCAAUCAAAUUGUUUGAAAAGUGGGACUAAGCAAAUUGUAUCGAGUGGUAAGAACGUUCGUUUUUGGGAAGAUAGUUGGAAAACAGCAAACCCUUGAAGGAGCUCUAUCCUAAAAUUUGGAGAAAGUCGAGCAAGAAAGGAAGAGUGAUACACAGAAUGGUGAACAGAAAUGGGUUGCAAACUCCAUCAUGGGAUUUAGGCUUUAAAUCGGGUUUCAGAGAAGAAAAUAUAAGUGAUGUUGCUGCGCUCAUUGAAACUAUUGGGGAUCCUAGCAAUUUAGGAACAAAAGAAGAUACAAGGUCAUGGACUCCGGGUAAAAAUGGAGAAUUCUCAGUUUCUUCUUGUUACGAAAUGAUUGAUGGACAACAACAGUUACGAGGACAAGCUCAAGCAAGACAACGCAGAAUGCCGUCGAAUUACAUUUGGAAUUCAGCCAUCCCAACGAAAGUGUCAUUUCUAGUUUAGGCUGCAGCAAUGAAUGGAUUACCAACUAUUGAUCGUUUACGUCGAAGAGGGAUGGCAAUCACAAACAUUAACUGUUGUCUGUGUCAUCAAGAACACGAAUCAAUUUCACACAUCUUUAUUCAAUGUGAGUUUGCAAAGAAAGUGUGGGAUCAUUUCUUAAACUUGUUGGAAAUUAGAUGGAGGCCGCCAGAUUCAUGUAUGGAUUUCGUUGUGUCUUGGCAGUUGAAAUUCAGGACCGAACCAAGGGAAUUUCUUAAAUUCUGUUUGCCCUUCGCCAUAUGGCAGCAAAUCUGGGAGGAAAGGAACGAUAGAGUUUCCCGCAACAAGGAAAAAAUAGUAGAAAGGGUUAUUAUUCAAGUGAAGGCUUCCUUAUUCAGUUGGGCGAGAGUUCAUGAAUCCUUUAAGCAUUUUAAGUUUGUGGAUUUCAUGCACGGUUGAGAGGUUUUUAAGUAGUAACUAGCUUCAAACAUGUAGUAGGGGAAAUGUUUUUUUGUUCCAUGUUUUACACUCCCCUUUACUCGUUUUGUGUUGUCCAGUUUGAAUAGCCGUGUGUUGUUUCUUUUAGUGCUAGCUCAACACUCUCUAGUGAAUGAGUUUUAUCUUCUCCAAAAGAAAAAGUUCU